ensembl:lncRNA
UUUCAGGGUGGGGCUGUCUUGAACACAGCCAUUUGGUUUCUGUCACAUGAGCCCGAAACACAUGAGCAAAGACUCUUUGAAAACACAUUGUUCGUCAAUGAUUUUAAAAUACUUUUCCCUAAAACAUGAAGUAGCUUUUUCUAGUAAUUUUCAUGUACAUACUUGGGAAAUCUCCCCCAUCAUGGGAAAGCUACCCAGAAAUCGACAGCAAGAAUCUGGAGAGGAAAGGAUCGGAGAACAGGGGACAUCCACCUAUUCCCAGCCCCGGCAGAUUCAUGUGAGUGCUUAUUCCUUCAUGAAAAAUCAUCCUGAGGGCUGCAGCUUUAGUGCUUUACCCUCAUGCCUCAGCCUUGGCCCUCUGGGGCAGGGGAUGGCAUGCCAGCUGUUCCUCUCUCUGGGACUUGGGGGGCACAUCUAGAGUGUGUAUAAAACCCACGGGGGAACUGAUUGCCUUCCCUUGGGCCAGCAUCUGGCUAAGCAGCUGUUUGGCCACCACUCUGAUUUGAAAUCAGCUGUAAGAUGAGCAGAAGAAACAAGGCACCCGUAUGCCCUAUGACCCUACACAGACAUUCAAUUAAAUUCCACCAACAUUCCUGAGUAAUACUACAGGUAAAGGAAGCAGUGGGUUGAAGUGCUUUGAUGAAAGAUACAUUCUGUGAUCCCUGUCCUUAUCUGUAACUGGAGAGUGCAUUAGGUUCAGAGGGCCUCCUCGACACCACGCCAAUAGUUACUCCUCCUUCGGAGAUCCGCAGGGGAAGGCCAAUUUGCGGUGGUUGUCGGGUACCCAGAGCCGGUUUCCUCCCACUAUUUCGUUACCUGAGCGCCCUCUAGUGUCCAAAAUGGAAUAUAGCCUAUGUAAAUGAUCACAGCCUGGCCGUGGUUGAAUUGAGCCUGCACGGGGAGUAAGACUUAGAUUAUUGUUUUUUUGGGUUUUUUGGUUUUGUUUUGUUUUGUUUUUGGACCCGAGUUCGAUCCCCAGUACCCCCCCUCCCCAAAUCUAUAAUUCAACCUUGCUUGGCAACUUCCCUGUCUCCAGAAUGCUGUGGCCCUGGAAUUCACCUUGGAGUCUCUGUAGAUCCGGUCAUGAGUAUAAAAAAGUGUGAUAGAGUCUGGGAUGGGGACUCCUGAGCUCUGCGCCCCAGAGAACUCUGGGAAGGAGAGUGUGCUCAUGGGAUAGGGGUUGAGGGACCUUGGAUAAUGG